AUGUAUUUGGGAGAUAGUCACGUCCUGUUGAAUACCUUGUGCUGGUGCUGCCAUCGAAAAAUCUGGUUACACUCUGGGGAGGCCUGCUACCACUGCAGGACUGAGCCACCUCGGCAGUGA